rnacentral:rRNA from 1 species
AAUGAACGCUGGCGGCGCGCCUAAUACAUGCAAGUCGAGCGAGAAGACGUAGCAAUACGUUUGUAAAGCGGCGAACGGGUGAGGAAUACAUGGGUAACCUACCCUCGAGUGGGGAAUAACUAGCCGAAAGGUUAGCUAAUACCGCGUACGCUCCUUGGACUUCGGUUCAGGGAGGAAAGCGAUACCGUGGGUAUCGCGCUCUUGGUUGGGCUCAUGUCCUAUCAGCUUGUUGGUGAGGUAACGGCUCACCAAGGCUUCGACGGGUAGCUGGUCUGAGAGGACGAUCAGCCACACUGGCACUGCGACACGGGCCAGACUCCUACGGAGGCAGCAGUAAGGAAUAUUGCGCAAUGGGCGAAAGCCUGACGCAGCGACGCCGCGUGGGGGAUGAAGGUCUUCGGAUUGUAAACCCCUUUCGGGAGGGAAGAU